AGAAGCUCACCGUAAAGGAAACUAUGUUGCUGCCAUUUGACGUCAAAGCGCAUCGAUAACUGAUUCAGUAAUUGGCAACUACUCCUCUAUCAAUGUGUAUGCACAUGGAGACUUGGACUGUCAGAUAAGGGUAAGUGACUAAAUUUUUAUCAUUGCAAUAUGCACUGCUAAAGAUAAAUAGUGUUUACUGGCCCUCUAAAA
rnacentral:lncRNA from 1 species